rnacentral:rRNA from 1 species
UACAGGGGGGGCAAGCGUUGUUCGGAAUUAUUGGGCGUAAAGAGCGUGUAGGCGGUCAGGUAGGUCCGUUGUGAAAACUCGAGGCUCAACCUCGAGACGCCGAUGGAAACCAUCUGACUAGAGUCCGGAAGAGGAGAGUGGAAUUCCUGGUGUAGCGGUGAAAUGCGCAGAUAUCAGGAAGAACACCCGUGGCUAAGGCGGCUCUCUAGUACGGUACUGACGCUGAGACGCGAAAGCGUGGGGAGCGAACAGG